rnacentral:rRNA from 1 species
CAGUAGCCACGGGAAUACGAAGGGGGCUAGCGUUGUUCGGAAUUACUGGGCGUAAAGGGCGCGUAGGCGGCCAUUCAAGUUAGAUGUGAAAGCCCUGGGCUCAACCUAGGAAUUGCAUUUGAUACUGUUUGGCUUGAGUUCUGGAGAGGUGAGUGGGAUUCCCAGUGUAGAGGUGAAAUUCGUAGAUAUUGGGAAGAACACCAGUGGCGAAGGCGGCUCACUGGACCGACACUGACGCUGAGGCGCGAAAGCGUGGGGAGCAAACAGGAUUAGAUACCCCCGUAGUCCCUGUCUCUUAUAC